rnacentral:rRNA from 1 species
AUUGAACGCUGGCGGCAUGCUUUACACAUGCAAGUCGAACGGCAGCGAGGAGGAGCUUGCUUCUCUGUCGGCGAGUGGCGAACGGGUGAGUAUAGCAUCGGAACGUGCCAAGUAGUGGGGGAUAACCAAACGAAAGUUUGGCUAAUACCGCGUAAGCUCUAAGGAGGAAAGUAGGGGACCUAAAUAAGGCCUUACGCUAUUUGAUCGGCCGAUGUCGGAUUAGCUAGUUGGUGGGGUAAUGGCUCACCAAGGCAAUGAUCCGUAGCGGGUCUGAGAGGACGAUCCGCCACACUGGGACUGAGACACGGCCCAGACUCCUACGGGAGGCAGCAGUGGGGAAUUUUGGACAAUGGGGGAAACCCUGAUCCAGCCAUGCCGCGUGUAUGAAGAAGGCCUUAGGGUUGUAAAGUACUUUUGUUAGGGAAGAAAAGCUAGUUUUUAAUAAAAAUUAGUGAUGACGGUACCUAAAGAAUAAGCACCGGCUAACUACGUG